GGCUGAUCUGAAUGCAGUAGUGUUCACAACUAAUUGAUCAUAACCUAUUAAAAAUUUCUUUGUUUCUUCUCCACUCCUACUGCUUUACUUAACUAGCCUUAA
ensembl:misc_RNA Y_RNA Y RNA